AUGGGUCAUGAGUGGGAACUUAGUUUCCGUCUGGGUAUGCGUCCUUGGAUUGCUGUUGCAUAUUCAGCUCCUGUUGCAGCUGCUACUGCUGUUUUCUUGAUUUACCCUAUUGGUCAAGGAAGCUUUUCUGAUGGUAUGCCUUUAGGAAUCUCUGGUACUUUCAACUUUAUGAUUGUAUUCCAGGCAGAGCACAACAUCCUUAUGCAUCCAUUCCACAUGUUAGGUGUAGCUGGUGUAUUCGGCGGUUCCCUAUUCAGUGCUAUGCAUGGUUCCUUGGUAACCUCUAGUUUGAUCAGGGAAACUACUGAAAAUGAAUCUACUAAUGAGGGUUACAAAUUUGGUCAAGAGGAAGAAACUUAUAAUAUUGUGGCUGCUCAUGGUUAUUUUGGCCGAUUAAUCUUCCAAUAUGCUAGUUUCAACAACUCUCGUUCUUUACACUUCUUCUUGGCUGCUUGGCCUGUAGUAGGAAUCUGGUUCACUGCUUUAGGUAUUAGUACUAUGGCUUUCAACCUAAAUGGUUUCAAUUUCAACCAAUCUGUAGUUGAUAGUCAAGGUCGCGUUAUUAAUACUUGGGCUGAUAUCAUCAACCGUGCUAACCUUGGUAUGGAAGUAAUGCACGAACGUAAUGCUCACAACUUCCCUCUAGACUUAGCUGCUGUUAAAGUUCCAUCUAUUAAUGGAUAA
rnacentral:rRNA from 1 species